rnacentral:rRNA from 1 species
AUGAGUUCACCAGCGACAUGGACAACAAAGCUCCGGACCCAUGGUGAGUCACUCCUCAAAUCGAUGAGCAAGAUGAUCGAAGCGAACAACGCGACACUCGACAGCCUCAUGUCGGCUCGGGUGGAUGGGAUCCGCGACGAAAUUGCCCGUGACCUCGAGCAGAUCAGGACGGAUUUCUACAAGACGGAGCCGCCGGAGCCGGAUCCCAAGGCCGACGGAACUUCAUCUUCGCGCAACGCUCGGCCGGGUCGUGGCGCUGCUGCGACCAGCGCCCUUGGCGUCGACAACGAACACCGGGGGAAGGCACAUAACAUUUAUGUCCCUCCUCCGGUCAGAGGUGCGCGCGAUUCAGUUUUCUCUCCCAGAAAUUUUUCUCCCCGAGAUCCUCAUGUGAUGGAUACUGCUGAGUACUCCUCGUUUUCCAUGCAUCUGGAGAUCCCCAGGUUCGAUGGCUUGAACCCGAGAUUAUGGCAAAAUCGUUGCGAAGACCAGUUCAGACUGUGGAGCACGCCUCCUCACAGAUGGUUAUCGUUAGCCACGGCUCAUUUCGAAGGUGCUGCUGCACGGUGGCUUGAAUCUAUGCAGAGGCGCAUGCCGAAUACCAACUGGUCAGAAUUCUGUGCUGCGUUACAAAGUCGUUUUGGGCGCAACCAACACCAAACCCUGCGUUAA